GAGGGGCUCGCGGCCUAUCAGCUAGUUGGUGAGGUAACGGCUCACCAAGGCGAUGACGGGUAGCUGGUCUGAGAGGACGACCAGCCACACGGGGACUGAGACACGGCCCCGACUCCUACGGGAGGCAGCAGUGGGGAAUUUUCCGCAAUGGGCGAAAGCCUGACGGAGUGACGCCGCGUGGGGGACGAAGGCCUUCGAGUCGUAAACCCCUGUCAGAGGGAAAGAAGGGUGUCGGCGCGAUAACCGCCGGCACUUGACGGUACCUUCAGAGGAAGCCCCGGCCAACUCUGUGCCAGCAGCCGCGGUAAGACAGAGGGGGCAAGCGUUGCUCGGAAUUACUGGGCGUAAAGGGCGUGUAGGCGGGAUGGCAAGUCGGUCGUGAAAGCCUUCGGCUCAACCGAAGAAGUGCGUCCGAUACUGCCGUCCUUGAGGGUUGGAGAGGAGACUGGAAUUCCCGGUGUAGCGGUGAAAUGUGUAGAGAUCGGGAGG
rnacentral:rRNA from 2 species